rnacentral:tRNA from 1 species
GAGGGUAUAGCUCAGUGGCCGAGUGCAUGCUUAGCAUGCAUGAGGUCCUGGGUUCAACCCCCAGUACCUCCA